UUCUCUAGCGCUAAGGAUGCGAGAAUGGCUUAAAAUAAGGCUAGCUUUGUGUCAAAUGGAACGUGCCCUGAGUGCUUCAAGGCUGCCAGGAUAUGCGUUGGAAGAACAAGUCUGUGGACGUCAGGAUCUAAUGGCCCUGAGAGUCACAUCCAUGGGUUAUACCCCGGACUCCAGAGUGACAAUUUUAGCAUGUGAACAAUUUGACAGGUCAAAUGCUACGAAAACGGUCAGUCCAUAUGUAUCCUCCAAAGCAUGCAAGGAUGUAAAUUUUUUUCAAAUAAUGUUCAGUUUUAAAUGGCGCGAUUACCACAUUUUCCGAACCCUGAUGAAUAAGCUGGACAGUCUUUUCGAAAAUCGUGAACAAUUACGGCGAUGGCCUAGGUUAUCGUUGAGACAUACCCCGGAACAACAUAUGUUAUCGUUGAGACAUACACCGGAAGAACAACAAGUUCGAAGGCGGAUCUUUCCCUGGCAGGAAAGUGGACAGAGCUUCGACGGAGCGCGGAAAAGACUUUGUGAUGGGGAAUUGGAAACGGAUAAUGUUCAGGGCUAACAGGACCCCAUAUAUCUGAUCCCCGACAUUUACGCAGCUUUUACGCGAUUUACCUGAUCUGGAACAUGAUGGGGGUUCGCAGGAGCAAAAGUCUGGCAGACAAUCACCAACGGCCUUUUUUCGUUCCGACAUACAGCCCUUUAUGAUAAAGGAUGCGUUAUGGACAGCUGACACGCAGGACUUUGAUGCAAUUCUACCGUUCACUGUGGCCCAAGUACACUGCUCAGAAUCAAGCCCACCCGAAAACUACUGUUGGGCCGGGAACUUGCUGCUUCACGAGCCGCCGCUC